CGGGGCGUAGCUCAGUUUGGUAGAGCGCACGUUUCGGGUGCGUGAGGCCGAGAGUUCAAGUCUCUCCGCCCCGACCA
rnacentral:tRNA from 1 species